rnacentral:rRNA from 1 species
GACGAACGCUGGCGGUGUGCUUAACACAUGCAAGUGGUGCGACGAACCAGAGCUUGCUCUGGGGCAAAGCCGCGAACGGGUGAGUAACACGUGGGUAAUCUACCCCGAUGACCGGGACAACCCGAGGAAACUCGGGCUAAUACCGGAUGUGGUGCGGAGACAUAAGUCUCUUCACUAAAGGUAGCUUCAGCUUCCGCAUUGGGAGGGGCCCGCGGCCCAUUAGCUUGUUGGUGGGGUCAAGGCCUACCAAGGCAACGAUGGGUAGCUGGUCUGAGAGGACGAUAGGCCACACUGGGACUGAGACACGGCCCAGACUACUACGGGAGGCAGCAGUGGGGAAUCUUGCGCAAUGCGCGAAAGCGUGACGCAGCAACACCGCGUGAGGGAAGAAGGCCUUAGGGUUGUAAACCUCUUUCAGAUGGGACGAAGGUUCUCCGGUGAAUAGCCGAGAGGAUUGACGGUACCGGCAGAAGAAGCUCCGGCUAACUACGUG